UCUGCACAAUCUUCCGAAACUACAAAAAACAAAAUAACUUCAGAGUUCUGGAAACCAUAAGGACACACACUGCUGAUUGUGGUCACCAUUUUCAAGCACUCACUGAGUAUCCCUUUCUUAGGAUUUACUGAAAGAAAAAACUCUGUUAAAUGGUGCAUUCUCAGUCCUUUGACUUUGAUCAUUAUCUGUCUGUAUGAGAAUCUUCCGGAUGAUGUGAAGCGUCCAGUCCUGCCCUGCGUCUGGCCUUUGGCUUUGGCCGCUGAUAUCAAGGCUGAGGUUGACCGCUGGUUUGACAACAGACUGAGGAACUACCUGAAGUUCCUCAACAGAAACCUGCUCCAGUCCUCUGACACACUCAACGCCUCCUGCUUACCCUUCAGGAGACUGUAAGCUACCACACUGGAAAUACCUUACAUUUGCUGAUGCUGUUACACAGAUAUAUCUACAUCAUUUAAAGUGAAUAAAAGGAAGAAAAGGUUGAUGACUGGGAUUCAAGCUCACUUUCAUUGGCUCAGCCAUAACUCAAGAUGAUGCGUACAGCACCAUAAAGACCUACCUCAACAUAGGAAGCUCAGCAGCACCCAAGUGUUAUAGUCCCUCUGACCCAAAUCUCAACUCCACCACCUGACCUGGUUCCUUAACUACAUUGGUGUGUUCAUCACCUUUGUGACCAUUGAAGACUUCAACACAUUUGGCUCAGAGUCAACGCUAAAACUAUUUGCCGUGAACCCUGUCAACAUUGAGUUGUUCAAUUUCACCGGAGCUCCUCAAAAUCUGACGAAACGCUUUACUGAGCUUAUCUUCCUGCAGAACUCCAACUUCCUCCCACUGCAGCUUCCACCAGACUUACAAUGUUUUGUCCCAGCUUCAGCUUACUCUAAGCUCAAUGAGUCAGAGAGUGUGGUUGUCCUGUGCAACCUGAACCAUUCCUGUACUAACGUGGACUCAGAGAUUUCUUCCGCACUGGCAUCGAAUAUCCAAAUUCAUCCGGGAUCAAAGUCCGGGAUCAAUCACGGCCCUGGGCCCGCAGGUCACAAGUCUGAACACUGGACAGAUCACUAAAGCCCCGCCCAGUGUGAUUUUACAAUCCCUGAGUACUCUGAGUAGUGUUUCUGGAUGGAACUUGGGACAGUCCUUGUCCAUCAUACAGAUUCUCAUCACCCAAAACUUCCAGUUGAUUCACUUCUUAAUAGGUUUAUUGCUAGUGGCCUAUUGGUUGUGAGCAUCAUUCACAACCAUGAUUCAUGCUUUAAACCAUUCCAUCCUCUCUACUUCCAAUGUAGAGGAUAUUUCAUAAUUUAAUGUUCUCUUUCUUUAGAUAAACAAUACCGACAGUCUAAUAAACCUGGGCUCUUUAGUGGGAGGUCUUCCAACCCAAACACUCACCGCAAUACCCGAGCAGCAGGUUCUGACAACAUCCGCCUACCCAAAAUGUGUUACCAACAUGCUGACUGCUCCAACAAUUGUGCAGCAGAUCUAUGUUAAUAAGAUCAUCAGUCGACAUGAAACCAACGGAACUGAUAGUCAAUGUCCCAGAUGAAAUGGCAACUGACAUUCCCAGCAAUCUACUGAAUUUCCCAACAACUGGAAAUCAAACUCACUGCUCUGAACAUCAACAAGAAAAAAUGGAAACCUCAGCAGGCGUACCCCAAAGGCCUCUCAGACCAGCAGGUUCAGGUGCUUGGGUCAGUGUCUCGCGUGGCUUCCAUGGAGCAGAUUAACAAGUGGAACAUCACUACAGUGGACACACUAGCAGCACUGAUGGACAAUGGCAAUGGAGAAUGGGACUCCGACAAAGCCAAAGUUAUUGUCACCAAGUUCUUAAAUGCUGGCAAUUCGCUUGGAGCCUCUGAAUUUAAUUCAAUUGGAGGGCCUAACCUGUGCGCACUGGACCUCAGUGUGUUGCAAGGCAUCAGAAAUGACAGUCUCCGAGAUGCAGAUGCUCUGGAAAUCACUAGCUGUUCCUCAGCACAUAAGAAGGCCUUCUUUGCAGUAGCUGAGAUCGCCUUUCCUAUCAACUUCAUCCAAACCUACGCCACUGCAGGAGGUGCCAUUAUCACCUACAUACGGAGUCUGUCUAGGGUGAAUAUUAGCAUGGACAUCAACACUUUUAUUGGUUUGGAUUCAGCUGCUGUCCAGGCUCGUAGUGUGAGUGAAGUGUCUGGACUCCUCGGCUCCAACCUAAAUUGACUGAAAACCUUUGAGAAUACCACUGUAAUGCAGAAUUGGGUGUCAAAGCAGUUAGUCUGAGCUUGACAAGCUGGGUAUCAGUCUGACCGGAGGAAGGGUGGAUUCAAACACCACCCCCAUGACAACAAAUACUGCCACCACCAUCAAAAAUACAACUUCCAGCCAGAGCAGAGGCACAUAUCCAGCUUGUCUGCUUUUCCUGUUUGGUCUCUUGUUCAUUGCAGUGCAAAUGUAGAUUAUAAUAUUGCAAGAGAAGCUUUAUAAUUUAGACCAAAUUGCAUAAUUAUACAUUUACAUUACAUUUAAGUCAUUUAGCAGACGCUCUUAUCCAGAGCGACUUACAAAUUGGUGCAUUCACCUUAUGACAUCCAGUGGAACAGCCACUUUACAA